GAUCGAAUCAAGCGCGAGAAGGGCGUUUGGUGAAUGCCUUGGCGAUAUGAGGCGAUGAAGGACGUGGCACUCUGCGAUAAGUUGCGGGGAGAUGAGAGCAAUCUUUGAUCCGCAAAUUUCCGAAUGGGGAAACCCACCUGACGUUUGACUGUUUUCGGCCGCAAGGCGGAAGACAGGAAAGCGAACCAGGUAUUUUUAACCUGAAUACAUAGGGUUAAAAAGGCGAACCCGGGGAACUGAAAUAUCUAAGUACCCGGAGGAAAGGACAUCAACCGAGACUCUGCUAGUAGUGACGAGCGAACGCGGACCAGGCCGUGUCUUCCAUAAAGACGAACCAGUUGGAAAGCUGGGCCAGAGCGGGUGACAGCCCCGUAGUUGUAGAAAGGAAGGCCGUUAGAGUAGGGCGGGACACGUGAAAUCCUGUCUGAACAUGGGGGGACCACCCUCCAAGCCUAAGUACUCCAUAUCGACCGAUAGCGAACCAGUACCGUGAGGGAAAGGUGAAAAGCACCCCGACGAGGGGAGUGAAACAGACCCUGAAACCGAACGCCUACAAACAGUCGGAGCCUCCGUGCGUUCUUCGGAUCGCGUGUGUGGUGACGGCGUACCUUUUGUAUAAUGGGUCAGCGACUUGGUCUCUCGAGCAAGCUUAAGCCGAUAGGCGUAGGCGCAGCGAAAGCGAGUCUGAACAGGGCGUUCAGUUCGAGGGAUCAGACCCGAAACCGAGUGAUCUAGGCAUGUCCAGGAUGAAGGUGCGGUAACACGCACUGAAGGUCCGAACCCACUUCUGUUGAAAAAGAACGGGAUGAGGUGUGCCUAGGGGUGAAAGGCCAAUCAAACUCGGAGAUAGCUGGUUCUCCGCGAAAUCUAUUUAGGUAGAGCGUCAUCCGAAUACCCCGGGGGGUAGAGCACUGGAUGGGUAAUGGGGCCCCACAGGCUUACUGAUCCUAACCAAACUCCGAAUACCCGGGAGUACUAGAUGGCAGACACACUGCGGGUGCUAAGGUCCGUAGUGAAAAGGGAAACAGCCCUGACCUCCAGCUAAGGCCCCUAAUUCAUGGCUAAGUGGGAAAGCAGGUGGGACGACCAAAACAACCAGGAUGUUGGCUUAGAAGCAGCCAUCAUUUAAAGAAAGCGUAACAGCUCACUGGUCUAGAUAAGUUGUCCUGCGGCGAAGAUGUAACGGGGCUCAAGCCAUGAGCCGAAGCUGAGGAUUAUGCUUGCUUGCAAGCAUAGUGGUAGCGGAGCGUUCCGUAUGCUGUGAAGGGUGUCCGUGAGGUAUCCUGGAGCGUACGGAAGUGAGAAUGCUGACAUGAGUAGCGACAAAGAGUGUGAGAGACACUCUCGCCGAAAGUCCAAGGGUUCCUGCUUAAAGCUAAUCUGAGCAGGGUGAGCCGGCCCCUAAGCCGAGGCCGAAAGGCGUAGGCGAUGGGAACCAGUUUAAUAUUACUGGGCCAGAGGAUGGUGACGGAUCGCAGGUGUAGUUCCUCCUUAUCGGAUUGGAGGGGCUGCUGAGUGGUUCCUGGAAAUAGCCCCUCAUAUGACCGUACCCUAAACCGACACAGGUGGACUGGUAGAGAAUACCAAGGCGCUUGAGAGAACGAUGUUGAAGGAACUCGGCAAAAUACCUCCGUAAGUUCGCGAGAAGGAGGCCCGGCUUGCAGGCAACUGUGGGUCGGGGGCACAAACCAGGGGGUGGCGACUGUUUACUAAAAACACAGGGCUCUGCGAAGUCGCAAGACGACGUAUAGGGUCUGACGCCUGCCCGGUGCUGGAAGGUUAAAGGGAGGGGUGAAAGCUCCGAACUGAAGCCCCAGUAAACGGCGGCCGUAACUAUAACGGUCCUAAGGUAGCGAAAUUCCUUGUCGGGUAAGUUCCGACCUGCACGAAUGGCGUAACGACUUCCCCGCUGUCUCCAACAUCGACUCAGCGAAAUUGAAUUCCCCGUGAAGAUGCGGGGUUCCCGCGGUUAGACGGAAAGACCCCGUGCACCUUUACUACAGCUUCAGAGUGACGUCAGGCAUGUCUUGUGCAGGAUAGGUGGUAGACUUUGAAACCGGAACGCUAGUUUCGGUGGAGUCAACCUUGAGAUACCACCCUUGGCCUGCUUGGCGUCUAACCGCGAACCGUGAAUCCGGUUCCGGGACCCUCUGUGGCGGGUAGUUUGACUGGGGCGGUCGCCUCCUAAAGAGUAACGGAGGCGCGCGAAGGUAGGCUCAGAGCGGUCGGAAAUCGCUCGUUGAGUGCAAUGGCAUAAGCCUGCCUGACUGCGAGACUGACAAGUCGAGCAGAGUCGAAAGACGGCCAUAGUGAUCCGGUGGUCCCUCGUGGAUGGGCCAUCGCUCAACGGAUAAAAGGUACGCCGGGGAUAACAGGCUGAUGAUGCCCAAGAGUCCAUAUCGACGGCAUCGUUUGGCACCUCGAUGUCGGCUCAUCUCAUCCUGGGGCUGGAGAAGGUCCCAAGGGUACGGCUGUUCGCCGUUUAAAGAGGUACGUGAGCUGGGUUUAGAACGUCGUGAGACAGUUCGGUCCCUAUCUGCCGUGGGUGUAGGAGAUUUGAGAGGAGUUGCCCCUAGUACGAGAGGACCGGGGUGAACGAACCACUGGUGGACCUGUUGUGGCGCCAGCCGCAGUGCAGGGUAGCUAUGUUCGGACAGGAUAACCGCUGAAGGCAUCUAAGCGGGAAGCCCCCCUCAAAACCAGAUCUCCCUGAGAGCCGUGGAAGACCACCACGUCGAUAGGCUGGAGAUGUAAGCGCUGUAAGGCGCUCAGUUGACCAGUACUAAUCGCUCGAUAGGCUUGAUUCGAUCCAGU
rnacentral:rRNA from 1 species